ACCCCCGGUAGUCCACGGCCNUAAACGAUGAACACUAGUCGUCGGGAUGCUUGUCAUCUCGGUGAUGCACUUAACAGAUUAAGUGUUCCGNCCUGGGGAGUACGGUCGCAAGAUUAAAACUCAAAGGAAUAGAACGGGGACCCGCACAAGUGGUGGAGCAUGUGGUUUAAUUCGAAGAUACGCGAAGAACCUUACCUAGCCUUGACAUUGAUAGAACACACCAGAGAUGGAGUGGUGCCCUUCGGGGAACUUGAAAACAGGUGCUGCACGGCUGUCGUCAGCUCGUGUCGUGAGAUGUUGGGUUAAGUCCCGCAACGAGCGCAACCCUCGUCCUUAGUUGCCAGCAGGUUAAGCUGGGCACUCUAAGGANACUGCCUUCGCAAGAAGGAGGAAGGUGAGGACGACGUCAAGUCAUCAUGGCCCUUAUGGCUAGGGCUACACACGUGCUACAAUGGGGCGUACAGAGUGUUGCGAUACCGCGAGGUGGAGCUAAUCACUUAAAGCGUCUCUCAGUUCGGAUUGGAGUCUGCAACUCGACUCCAUGAAGCUGGAAUCACUAGUAAUCGUAGAUCAGCAAUGCUACGGUGAAUACGUUCCCUGGUC
rnacentral:rRNA from 1 species